GACGAACGCUGGCGGCGUGCUUAACACAUGCAAGUCGAACGGAAAGGCCCUGCUUUUGUGGGGUGCUCGAGUGGCGAACGGGUGAGUAACACGUGAGUAACCUGCCCUUGACUUUGGGAUAACUUCAGGAAACUGGGGCUAAUACCGGAUAGGAGCUCCUGCUGCAUGGUGGGGGUUGGAAGGUUUCGGCGGUUGGGGAUGGACUCGCGGCUUAUCAGCUUGUUGGUGGGGUAGUGGCUUACCAAGGCUUUGACGGGUAGCCGGCCUGAGAGGGUGACCGGCCACAUUGGGACUGAGAUACGGCCCAGACUCCUACGGGAGGCAGCAGUGGGGAAUAUUGCACAAUGGGCGGAAGCCUGAUGCAGCAACGCCGCGUGCGGGAUGACGGCCUUCGGGUUGUAACCCGCUUUCGCCUGUGACGAAGCGUGAGUGACGGUAAUGGGUAAAGAAGCACCGGCUAACUACGUG
rnacentral:rRNA from 1 species